AUGAGAUCUGGGGAUCUGUGCACCAUACAAAGAUCUUGUGUGUUGGACUACAGCAAAAAAACAUCAUCAAACUUCCCUCAGAAGAUGGCUAGUCUUUUGUUAAAGGAAUUUCUUGCAUUUCUGAAAAAGAAACCUGUUUUCAUCCAAUUUCCAUUGAGUGCUUUACUAUUUGGAUUAGAGGAGAUCGUUGAAAUCCAUUUUACAUGCCCGUGCAAUGUUAAGAUGAAUUAUCUUUUAGUGCUGACAAUGUUCUUUGGACCUUCUUUGUUUAUUUUUGCUUUAAUGUUCUUGUUUUAUCGGCCUUUUAAACAUGGGUAUUUGCAUUGUGCUAAGAAAGCAAAUGGAGAAACUUUAGAUGAAACUCAGCAGAGCUGUCCUAAAUCUCUUGGAUAUUGUCUGAUUGCACCUGUAAUGUGGGUCAUCAUCUUGUUUCUUGAUGGAGAUUACUUUGUUUGUUAUCAUACAGACUGGAAUGGACAUUAUGUUUUUGAUGAGGAGCUCAACAGGUCUUGGUGUAAACCUACUGAGGGGAUGCGAACUGAGACAGAGCUACGCAGUUUGACUAACUAUAAUCUUCAUUAUUCUCGGUAUAUAGGUUACAUCUUGAUGAGUGUCCUCGGUAGUUUUCUGGUAACCACAGUGGGUCUUUAUGACUGCUGCAUAACUGGAAAAUGUGACUGGUGCUCAAGUUGUAUAUUAAUAACGUGUGGACGAACAGAUCCAGAGCAGGGGAGUCAGACACAGAGUGGUAAUGAAACAGUGAAUCUAAGCCCUGAGAAUAGGCCUACGGAACAGAACGUGAUCCCAAUGGUGGGCUUAAGCUCUGACCAAUCCCACGAGCCCAGAAUCCCUAGCAACGUCCCUGAUCCUGAGACAGAGAAUAGACAAGGUGAAGGACCGACUGAACCAACAGGAUAAUUUUAAGACGCAAACUCCGGGAAAUUUUCCAGUGAUCCAGUAAGCGAAUGCAUAAUCCUUUCCAGUGUGUUUCACUUUUAAACACGAGCUGUCAUAUUCUGUGAUUGUCUCAGAAGAGAGCGAGGCCUCGCACGUCGCGCUGUGUGAAGUACAGACUGAACGGAUUGUCAACAUCCCGUAUGGCCAGAUGAGACGCAAACUACGGUAGCCGAGAGAGCUCAACGCGCUGCAACUUAAGAAAACACAUGCAAAUUGAAAAAACACCAGCAAAUGAAGAAAACAUCUUCAUCAGUUUGACAACACAAGUGUUGCAAAUCCUCACAACACAUGCAAAUUAAGAAACGCGCUGCAAAUCCUCACAACUAUGGCAAGCCAAAAGGUUCAGAAUUACGCCUAGAUUAAACGCAUUUAAAACAGUAUUAGCGGCGUCAAAUACACCGUCCUGAUAGCAGACGCAGUAAAAAAUGCACGUAAACCAUAAAAAACGGCGUUUUAGUGUUUGUAAAAAGUGUUGCUUUUGACGCCGUUUUGGUUGCACAGAGCGCGCGUUAUUUACGGCAUUUUGCUUAUAGUAUAAUGAGCCAUGCCCACUGAUUUCAGUAACCAAUAAGUUUGAACAGUUCUCAUCCAAUCAAUGAUGACCUGACUCAGGCCAGACUAGUUUACAUCCAACAUGUCAUUUUAAAACCUGUUAGCCUGCACCCAGACACCGGCGUCCUCAACUCGCCUUGUUUGCACGUGUCAAUAUUUACGAAUAGAUUAAAUGAAACGGGACAAAUUUAAUCUUGACAAACUAUAUAUCAUUAUAAAGAUCUAAGCCUCAAGCAUCAACGACAGAUCGCUGUUUUUCAAUGGAAAGCUUAUAAAGAAUGUAUUUGCUAAAUUUGUAUAAGCAGUACACAUCAAAACAAGAAGAAUGAAAACGCAGUACAUACCAGAUUCGUCGUAAUAACGAGUCAUAAACACAUCCACAACUGUAAAUCCCAGUUUAGUUAGAAAG
ensembl:lncRNA